CCUACGGGUGACUGCAGUGGGGAAUAUUGCACAAUGGGGUAAACCCUGAUGCAGCGACGCCGCGUGAGUGCAGACGUCCUUCGUUAUUUAAAGCUCUAUCAGCAGGGAAGAAAAUGACGGUACCUGAGUAAGAAGCCCCGGCUAACUACGUGCCAGCAGCCGCGGUAAUACGUAGGGGGCAAGCGUUAUCCGGAUGUACUGGGUGUAAAGGGAGCGUAGACGGCAGUGUAAGUCUGGAGUGAAAGGCGGGGGCUCAACACCCGGACUGCUCUGGAAACUGUACGGCUGGAGUGCAGGAGAGGUAAGUGGAAUUCGUAGUGUAGCGGGGAAAUGCGGAGAUAUUAGGAGGAACACCAGUGGCGAAGGCGGCUUACGGGACUGUAACUGACGUUGAGGCUCGAAAGCGUGGGGAGCAAACAGGAUUAGAUACCCCAGUAGUC
rnacentral:rRNA from 1 species